CGCUGAUCACGACCCCGAAACUGUGUCUGAGCCUGAGGCUGAUCCUGGACAUGACAGCGAGACUGACGAUGAUCUGAGGGGCCCGGCUGAGGUACCACCACCACCACCACCACCACAGGAUGGUGCGGACAUCCACUAUGUGAAUGAUUUUUUUGUUCGAGAUACGGAGUUGGGAGAAGACCGGACUCUUCUCGGCAUCGUUAGAAAUGCUGCUUUCGACACGGCGCUUCGGAAGGCCAAAGCAGUUGCUGCCGACGUUCUGAACUGGAGCUUCAUGCGCGGUGGGAUAGCAUAUCUUCAGUACGGUGAUCUGCAACGGCUCAUGGAUGAGCGCUUAGAGCAAGCCUUGUCCUGUUAAAAAAAAGAAAGAAAACAUCCUGAAGCAGUAAAGCACGACAUUCAAAAAUAAAUGAUUGAAAAUCCCCGAGCAGUGUGAUUUCAGAAAAAUUAAAACCCCAUGGCGCGCAUUUUAGACUUAAACUUUCUGUUAGAGUGCCUGGUUCGAGAUCCUGAAUCAUUCAUAAUAAACGAUGUGAAUUUAUCACCGAGUGCAUUUCAAUCUGGGUCUGGUUACCAUUCCGAUUCGUCAGCAUCAUACCCCAGUGUCAGUCAUGAACCUCCUCCUCCUCCCCCUCCCCCUCCUCCACCUCCUCCUCCUCCUCCUCCCCCUCCCCCU